GUAGGUGGCAAGCGUUGUCCGGAAUUAUUGGGCGUAAAGCGCGCGCAGGCGGUCCUUUAAGUCUGAUGUGAAAGCCCACGGCUCAACCGUGGAGGGUCAUUGGAAACUGGGGGGACUUGAGUACAGAAGAGGAAAGCGGAAUUCCAAGUGUAGCGGUGAAAUGCGUAGAGAUUUGGAGGAACACCAGUGGCGAAGGCGGCUUUCUGGUCUGUAACUGACGCUGAGGCGCGAAAGCGUGGGGAGCAAACAGGGAUUAGAUACCCUGGUAGUCCACGCCGUAAACGAUGAGUGCUAAGUGUUAGGGGGGUUUCCGCCCCCUUAGUGCUGCAGCUAACGCAUUAAGCACUCCGCCUGGGGAGUACGGCCGCAAGGCUG
rnacentral:rRNA from 1 species